CUGACAUGUGUGCGAGUCAACGGGUGAGUAAACCCGUAAGGCGCAAGGAAGCUGAUUGGCUGGAUCCCUCACGGGUGCACAGCCGACCGACCUUGAUCUUCUGAGAAGGGUUCGAGUGUGAGCAUGCCUGUCGGGACCCGAAAGAUGGUGAACGAGGCCGGAGCGGGGCGAAGCCAGAGGAAACUCUGGUGGAGGCCCGCAGCGAUGAAAUUAGAGUGCUCAAAGCAAGCCUACGCUCUGUAUACAUUAGCAUGGGAUAACAUCAUAGGAUUUCG
rnacentral:ncRNA from 2 species